GUUAAGUGGAAAAGGAUGUGGCGUUGCCCAGACAACUAGGAUGUUGGCUUAGAAGCAGCCAUCAUUUAAAGAGUGCGUAAUAGCUCACUAGUCGAGUGACACUGCGCCGAAAAUGUACCGGGGCUAAACAUAUUACCGAAGCUGUGGAUUGUCCUUUGGACAAUGGUAGGAGAGCGUUCUAAGGGCGUUGAAGCAUGAUCGUAAGGACAUGUGGAGCGCUUAGAAGUGAGAAUGCCGGUGUGAGUAGCGAAAGACGGGUGAGAAUCCCGUCCACCGAUUGACUAAGGUUUCCAGAGGAAGGCUCGUCCGCUCUGGGUUAGUCGGGUCCUAAGCUGAGGCCGACAGGCGUAGGCGAUGGAUAACAGGUUGAUAUUCCUGUACCACCUAUA
rnacentral:rRNA from 1 species